rnacentral:rRNA from 1 species
UACGGAGGGUGCAAGCGUUAUCCGGAUUCACUGGGUUUAAAGGGUGCGUAGGCGGGUUGGUAAGUCAGUGGUGAAAUCUUCAGCUUAACUUGGAACUGCCGUUGAUACUAUCAAUCUUGAAUAUUGUGGAGGUAAGCGGAAUAUGUCAUGUAGCGGUGAAAUGCUUAGAUAUGACAUAGAACACCGAUAGCGAAGGCAGCUUGCUACACAGUAAUUGACGCUGAGGCACGAAAGCGUGGGGAUCAAACAGG